GCCAAAUAGCUAGCCUUAACACCAAAGCUAAUCAAACAAUAUACAUAACAAAGAAUGACCCAACAAAGCAAAUUAAACCAUUUUCCCUAUCUUAGUAUGGGAGACAAAAAAGAUUCAAAAAGAGCAAUAGAAAAAGUACCGCAAGGGAAAGCUGAAAGAGAAGUGAAAUAACCCGUAUAAGCACAACAAACCAAGGAUUAAAUCCUGUACCUUUUGCAUCAUGGUUUAGCCAGCAUCCCUAAGCGAAGUGACCUUUAGUUUAUAACCCCGAAACCAGGUGAGCUACCCCGAGACAGCCUACACAAAUAGGGCCAACCCGUCUCUGUGGCAAAAGAGUGGGAAGAGCUCCGGGUAGCAGUGAUAGACCUAUCGAACCUGGCCAUAGCUGGUUGCUCGAGAAAUGAAUAAAAGUUCAGCCUGGCACACUCCCAACUUAAGAACCAUAAAAUUAAGGAAAAGACGCCAGAGUUAGUCGAGGGGGGUACAGCCCCCUUGACCAAGGACACAACCUUUACAGAAGGAUAAAGAUCAUAAUACAUAAGACUCAUUGCCCCGGUGGGCCUAAAGGCAGCCAUCCGACAAGAAAGCGUUAAAGCUCAAGCAAGAAAAAGUCAAAUAUACCGAUAAAAAAUCUUACUCCCCUAUAAGUACCGAGCCGCUCCAUGCCAUCAUGGAAGAGAAAAUGCUAAAAUGAGUAACAAGAAGAACAGAUCUUCUCCUAGCACAAGUGUAAGUCAGACCGGACCUACCACUGACAAUUAACGAACCCAACAAAAGAGGGCAAUGUGGCCUAUAAAAAGUUCAAGAAAUUCCCACAACCACCAUCGUUAUUCCCACACUGGCGUGCGACCCAGGAAAGACUAAAAGAGAGGGAAGGAACUCGGCAAACACAAGCCUCGCCUGUUUACCAAAAACAUCGCCUCCUGCAAGACUAUGUAUAGGAGGUCCAGCCUGCCCAGUGACUAACAGUUCAACGGCCGCGGUAUCCUGACCGUGCAAAGGUAGCGUAAUCACUCGUCCUUUAAAUGGGGUCAAGUAUGAAAGGCUAAACGAGGGCUUACCUGUCUCCCCACUCCAGUCAGUGAAAUUGAUCUACCCGUGCAGAAGCGGGUCUAAUAAUACAAGACGAGAAGACCCUUUGGAGCUUUAGGUACAGAACUUAAUCAUGACCAAGCAAAUAGAUAAGAAUCUUAAACCUCAUGACGCAUAAGAUACUACCUUCGGUUGGGGCGACCAUGGAGAAAAAAACAUCCUCCAAGUGGACUGGGGACACCCUUAGAACCAAGAGAUACAUCUCUAAGUCACAGAAUUUCUGACCAAAAAUGAUCCGGCAAUAAAGCCGAUCAACGGACCAAGUUACCCUAGGGAUAACAGCGCAAUCCUCUCCCAGAGCCCAUAUCGACGAGGGGGUUUACGACCUCGAUGUUGGAUCAGGACAUCCUAAUGGUGCAGCCGCUAUUAAGGGUUCGUUUGUUCAACGAUCAAAGUCCUACGUGAUCUGAGUUCAGACCGGAGUAAUCCAGGUCAGUUUCUAUCUGUAACGCUACUUCUUCCCAGUACGAAAGGACAGGAAAAAGGAGGCCCAUGCCAGAAGUACGCCUCACCCCAAAUUGAUGAAUACAAAUCAAUUAAGCAAGGAGAGGCCACAAACUAAAAUUCUCAAGACAAGAGAA
rnacentral:rRNA from 1 species